AUGGAGUGGGUGUGGAGGCUCCUUUUCCUGCUGGCAGCUGCCCAAAGUGUCCAAACACAGAUCCAGCUGGUGCAGUCAGGAGCUGAGCUGAAGCAGCCUGGGCAGUCAGUGAAGAUCUCCUGCAAGGCUUCAGGGUACACCUUCACACAAUAUGCAAUGCGCUGGGUGAAGCCGGCACCAGGACAGGGUCUAAAGUAUAUGGGCUGGAUCAAUACUGAAACUGGGAAUCCAACAUAUGCUGAUGACUUCAAAGGACGGUUUGUCUUCUCCUUGGACACGUCUGUCAGCACUGCAUAUCUGCAGAUCAGCAGCCUCAAGGAUGAAGAUACGGCCAUGUAUUACUGUGCGAGAGACACAGUGUGAAAACCACAUCCUGAGGGUGUCAGAAAACCUCAGGGAAGUGGUUCUUCUGUGCCCAGACAGCAACAGAGGAAAUAUCUGCCUCCUCCAUGACUAUGAUUAUGAAGUUAGUAAUUAGACACAAGGAAAUUGAUCUCUGUUCUUUGGUAGACUCUUCACAGUUGUGUCUUGGCAAUCAAGCCACAUGCAUAGGAAAGAGGACAUAGGAUAGCAUCAUUAACUCGGGAUAAAACCUAUAGUUGGCCAGGCCUUGGUAUUCAUGCCUUUAAUCACAGCACUCA